rnacentral:lncRNA from 1 species
GAAGUGUUUAGCAUGAUACUUACGUAGAUCACUCUUGGGAGUGGGAGGUGUCAUGAUAAGAUGAUGCUGAGUCCCUUGAAGUUGUUUGUCCUCCCAAAAUAUACUGAUAGGGGGUGCUUGUCACUGUGUAACAACCUCAGCCUUUUUUGCACUUGGUGCUAGUGAAAAGUUGAGGGAAAAUCCAACCAUGCCCACAGGACAGAAAUACUUUUUUUUUUUUUAAACCAAAGAAAAGCCUUUUUACAAAAUAGCAACUCAUCAGGGAAAAGAAAUGUCCGAACUAAAUGAGAGCAGGCUGCACGUUGGACCUGCUGACAUGAAGCCAGGGCAAGGUGCUUCCCCACUCUGGCCUGCGUUUCCUCCUCUGCAUAAGGAGAAUUUUGGAUUUGGUCCUCUCCCGGGUCAGUCCACCUCUAACACUCUGUCAUGCCAGGUGAUAACCAAAAUAUCUAGAUCCAGCAUUCAUGUCUGCAAUGUUCUUGCUUUGCUAGCAAGGCCCCUGCCACCAAGAGGAGAUCACACGUUUUCUAGAUGUCCUUUUUUACCUCCCCACAGGGUCACUGGGGCUUCCCUGUAGGUGAGGUCCUUGGGCAAGUCUACCUCUCUACACCUCAGUUUCCUCAUCUGUGAAAUGGGGAUAAUAACAAUGGUCUCAACAGCACGGGGUUGAGGGGAAAACGAAAUAGGAUGCUAGGUGCAAAGUGCAUAGCAUGGGACAAGAACUUUGCCAAAGUCAACGAAGAGCUCAGUGUUCUGCAUUGGUGCCCGCCUCCAUGCUCAGGUCCUCAAGAGACCCGUGACGGUCUUCCCUUGAUCUUGGCUUUGGUGUUGGUGAUGGCGGUAAGGAAUCAUCUAGUAGCCAAGUAGGACCUUUUAUUCCUGAGGACUAAUGAGACUGUGAACUUUGUGAAUCCUCCACUCCUAGCAGCCAGAAGACUCAGCCCAGGCCAGAGGUCGUGGUCUGUGGGGCUCUGGUGGUCAGCAGAAGAGGCCAGGAUAGAGCGAGACGGACAAUGACCACGAGCACAGAAAGCUGCAGAGGAGCAGGAUCCAGAAGCAGAAGCUUGUGACUUGGCACCUGUUUCCGGAACCCACUAUGGCCCAACCUUCUCAGAAGAUUUUGCACCUUGAGCCAAAGAGGAUGCAGGGCUCUUGGGACCCAAGAGCCUGAGUAGGGCUUCUGCCCUCCCUCUCCGGCCUGAAGUUUCCCAUUCAUCAGCUGGAACCUUCACACCUGCCCAGAGGACUGCUGACUCGCACUGACGGUGGCCACAAGGUGACAGCUUGUGUCCUGUGGGGGUAGAUGGUGAUAACCAUCUGGUAACCAAGCAGAUGAAGUCCUGGGGUGAUGAAAUCUUAGGAAGUAAAGAAGAUUGGUCUUGUCCUUAGCUAUCCUCACUCCUUUGGAGCAAGCCCCCAAAGUCCCUGCCACAGCAGGCCCUGGGCAUGGAAGGGAUGACUGAUGACAGUGUCAUUGUCAAGGAUGGGUAUGCCAAGGAUGGAAGAGUGGCUGCUUCUGCCUUGCACCAUUCCCCUCUCCUGAGCCAGCCUCCUUCCUACCUUUUGACUCCCUCUCAGGCAGUAGUCACAGCCUUCUAGAGACAAAGCUGGCGCAAAUCACAGGUCAGCUGGCCUGCAGGGCAGUGGGAACCCCCAGGGCGUGGGUGGAAAGGGCAGAGGCGGGCUGGACCAUUUAUCUAUCUGUCUGAGAGUUACUGAGCACUGGCCAGAGACUGCUCAUUUCUUCUCAAUAUUUCCUCCUGUCCCUUAGAAUCCUGACUUUAACUGGGAAUAAUGCUGCCCUUCCCGGUGGGAAUAACACUGCCCUUCCCAGUGGGAUAAGCUUCCUAGCUGAUGUAACCAUGCAUUAAGGUUAGGCCAAUGAGAUGUAAACUGAAUUAUUGUAUAGAACUGCUAGAAAUUUUCGCCAAAAAAAACUGGUAUGCCUUUUUAUGCCUCUUUGUGCCUUUUUGUUCCUGACACAGAAUUCAGAUGUGAUGGCUGCAGCUUAAGCAGCCAUCAUGGACCAUGAAGUAGACACACUAAACCUGCUGCAGGAGCAAGAUGGAAGGAGUCUGGACCUCUGACAAUGACAGUUUCACAAAACUUUUCCUGGGGUGUACGCCUCCAGACACCUCUUAUUCCUGAGAGGCAGAUAAACUGCUCCCUUUUAAAGCCACUGUUGUUUUGAGUUGAUCUGUUACACAUAGUCAAACCUGAUCCAAACUCAAAAAUAAAAGAAAAAGCAAAAAAACCUGAUCCAAACUGAUUCAAGUCCCUGCUGUGUGACAGACACUCUUCGAGGUUGUGGUGACCCAGCAGUGAGGAUAGGAUGGUCACCAGCACAGUGACCAUAGUGCCUGCCCUGUACAGCCACAUUCCAGUGGAGAGAAAGCUAUAUAUGAGGAAACA